GCGCUGUUGUCAUGGUAACCAAUACCCGCCUCUUUGCCUGGGAGCUUGCUUGCGGCCUGUUUCUUCAGGCCUUCAGACUUGGGUCUUGGACUGGAACCACACCACCGGCUUUCCUGGACUUCCAGCUUGCAGAGGGACUUCUCAGCCUCCAAAAUCGAGCCCCUUGCAAAUGAAAGUCUAAAGAGCUCUACAAUGAUUUAUGAAGAAACUCAAAGACACACAAUUUAUAGGAAGAACAUUUCUGAGAAUAAGAACUUCUUGGAAAAAUAAUUGCAGCAUCAAAGAAUGCUCUGGAGGAAACAAGUCCUAGACACAAAUUCCAGUUUGCAGCCUACAUUCCCUCAGUCUUACGUCUCAUUUUGGGCCAUUAAUUAGACAGUGGAAAAGAGAUCAUAACAGUAAAUUGUUUCAUUGGAAUGGUUACUACAAGAGACAGAUACUCUUCUUGGCCUGAGUUCACUGAGUCCAUCUUAGGAGAGGAUGGGGAUAGGAGAAAUAAAGCCAUGUUAGGUGAAGAGGCUGCCAUAAAGAAGAAUAAUGCUCGGAAUGCACCUAACUAUGCUGGCCUGGACAGAUUUCUUCCUAGAUUGAAGAACUAUUAUGAAUGAUCUUUGAGUAAGAGA